AUGCCUAGACUAGUUGUAAAAUUAUUCUAGUAACUGUCUAGAAUAGAUUUUAUAUUGAAUAGUUCAAUUUAAAUCUUAUUUUUUAGAUGUUAUAUGUAAUGUAUCAGAUCUGAAAGCAUGCUAAUUAGAUCAGAUUUUAAUACAUGAGAUGUAUGCAAAGCAUGUAUAAGUUAGAUCUGAAAUUAUAUAUGUGAUAUGUAACUUAGAUCUAAC
rnacentral:lncRNA from 1 species